rnacentral:misc_RNA from 1 species
GAUGAAGAACGUAGCGAAAUGCGAUAAGUAAUGUGAAUUGCAGAAUUCAGUGAAUCAUCGAAUCUUUGAACGCACAUUGCGCCCGCCAGUAUUCUGGCGGGCAUGCCUGUUCGAGCGUCAUUUCAACCCUCAAGCCCUGCUUGGUGUUGGGGAUCGGCGUUGCCUCCUCCGUCGUUCGCGGCGGGGUGAGGUCGCCGCCCCCGAAAUGAAUUGGCGGUCUCGUCGCAGCUUUCCUUUGCGUAGUAACAUACCACCUCGCAACCAGGAGCGCGGCGCGGCCACUGCCGUAAAACGCCCAACUUUUUCAAGAGUUGACCUCGAAUCAGGUAGGAAUACCCGCUGAACUUAAGCAUAACAAUAAGCGGAGGA